rnacentral:misc_RNA from 1 species
GAUGAAGAACGCAGCGAAUUGCGAUACGUAAUGUGAAUUGCAGAUUUUCAGUGAAUCAUCGAGUCUUUGAACGCACAUUGCGCCCCCUGGUAUUCCGGGGGGCAUGCCUGUCCGAGCGUCAUUGCUGCCCUCAAGCACGGCUUGUGUGUUGGGCCUCCGUCCUCCUCCCGGGGGACGGGCCCGAAAGGCAGCGGCGGCACCGCGUCCGGUCCUCGAGCGUAUGGGGCUUCGUCACCCGCUCUUGUAGGCCCGGCCGGCGCUUGCCGACACAUCAAUCUUUUUUCCAGGUUGACCUCGGAUCAGGUAGGGAUACCCGCUGAACUUAAGCAUAUCAAUAAGCGGAGGA